rnacentral:tRNA from 1 species
GCCAGUGUGAUGGAAUUGGUAGACAUGACGGAUUCAAAAUCCGUUGCCUUCGGGCGUGGCGGUUCGAGUCCGCCCACUGGUA